UGGCCCACAGAUGGUCUUGCUGAAAUACUGAGGGAAGGAUGGUCAGGAAGUGAAGAGGCUAAGAAGACAAGGAACAGGAAAGACUUGCUUGCAAGGGUUGUGCAAAUUUAUUUUUCAACAUUCUUUUCAUGCAACAGCUCUAUAAAUAGAGAGAACUGCAUCUCACCAGCACUUGGAGAGAUCUUAGGGAAAGCUUGAGUCAUGAGGUUUCUUUAUUUUUUCCUUGCUGUGGCUGUACUUCUCCUCCAUGUAGCUCCAGGGAAAACUCAGACCUGCAGAGAACUGCGAGGCCACUGCCGGGUUCCGUUAAGUACGAUAUGCCCAUAUGGAUCUCUUCCAGCCAACUGUGGCUUUAAUGGCAUAUGCUGCAAAUGGAAACCACCAACAACAGAAGCCUGUAGUAAACAGGGAGGUUACUGCCACGUUCCAGUGCGUGAAAGAUGUCCCUCUGGCAGAGAUCUACCGGCCAACUGUGGCAUUAAUGGAAGAUGCUGCAAAGCGAUUUUGUAAUCUAAGAUGCGGAUCAUUCCUUUUUGAAAAGAAGUAGAGCUGAAAUGAAUCAAACAAUGAAGAUAUCAGAAGUGUUCAAUGAUCAGAUGAUUAAAUAAAGAUUAAAUGUCAUA